AUCUUCCCUCCCCACGCCACGGGGAGGAGGGACGUUUCCGUUUCGUCACUUCCGGCAGGCAGGACCGGGGGAAGAAAGCUGUGACUGGAGCUUCUGCUUCCUGGAUGCUUGGUUUCUUGGCCCCUCAGACCUCACUGUCUGCAUCUGCAUCUGCCCUGCUGGGGCAAGUGUUCCUAAGCUCUGUGGCUCCACUGGUAAGUGCUUAGAGGCACCCCACUCUGCCAGGAAACUUUGGCCAGAAGCACUCAGCUUUCUUGCUUCGUGGGUCAGCAAGCCUAGCUCUACCGGUAAGUGCUCAGAGGGCCCCCACUCCACCUGGAAGGCUCCUACACAAAGGCUUUCAGCUCUUGCUCUGUGGGUCAGCUAUAGCGCUGUCUAGCGCUGGUCUCCUAGUUCUGCUGCUGCUGUUUCUUUGUUACUGCCUUUUUUCUGUUGCUGCUUCUCACCAUCUGUGCCAUUUUCCCAUGUAACAUCUCUCCUCACUUCCUUCUCAAUCCUCACCAGAAUUGUCUUUGAUGUCCAAAAGUCCACCAACCAUCUCUUCAAGGCAGCCUAGGCUUUUACUGUUUAAAAGGCUUUUACUGUUAGGCACUUUAAAACCCUUCCAGCCUCUAUCUGUUCACAGUUUCAAAACUGCUUCCACAUUUUAGGUAUCUGUUAGAGCAGCAGCACCCCACUCUCUCAGUACCAGAUGUCUUAGGCUGGGUUCUUUAGAGAAGCAAAGCUAGCAAAGCGUAAAAAUGCAUACAUAGAGAGAGAUUUAUAUUAAGGAAAUGGCUCAUGUGAUUGUAGAGGCUGGAACACCCCAAGUCUGUGAGUCAGGACAGAAGCUUCUCCUCAUUCACAUGGCCGCGGGAGCUGGCGAACCCAAGAUCGGCAGGUCAGAAGGGCUUUUGCUUGCUCUGAAUCCGGCAGCUGGCUCCUGUUCACCUAAACUCUGGUUCUUGGGACUUGAGCUAACAGCUUACCUGCCAUCUUGCCUGCCAGUCUCAGGUUCACCAGUCCCUGCAGCUACGUGAAUCAGGAGAAGACUCUAUCCUGAUCCAUGGACUUGGAAUGUUCUAGCCUCUGUAACCACAUGAGCCAUUUCCUUGAUAUAAAUCUCUCUUUAUAUAGGUAUUUUUAUGCUUUACUGGUUUUGCUUCUCUAGAGAACCCAGCCUAAGACAGUUGUGUUCCAUAUACUCAGAAAAUGUGAAUGCUCAAGUUCUCUAGUCUUAUAGACAACAAGUUUAGAAGAUGUAUAUCUCCUUGGUCAACACAUUUUUCCUUUGUUUUAAAUCCUUUCCGAAAACUGAGACAGGGUAUGACCAAAUACAUGAAUGAAUGCAUAGAAAGCAGAGUGCUUAAUGGGAGAAAUGCAACAGAUUCUGGCUUUAUUGGUCAAGAAGUGCAUUCAGAUAUCUAAUGUUUGUAAUACAGUAAGCCUAGCUCUGUAGUCCCAAAGCGUACCUUUCUGAAGAGUAAUCCUCGGUUAUACUUCUGAAAAGAAGAAGGCUCCAUGCCCAGAUACAUUGGGAGGUCAUAACAGAUCAUAUGCCCCUGUUAGAGUAUCAAAAUGCCCUUAUGAAUUAAAGGCAUUGAGAAAUUCUGCAUUAAAAACAACAAUAAAAUAGUUUAAUUUUUGUAUCAGUUAAAAAAAAAUUUUUUUUUCUUUUUUUUUAAGCGGUUAGUGUCAAUUAUAUUCCAAGGAACAGAGCAGAAAACUCAUGUGGCUUUAGCAACUAUGGUUUGUUUUUCUUAUAUAACGAGAAGUCCAGAUGUACACACUUGCUCAGAAUUGUCAGGGCUGAUGUCUUAUUCCCUUGUCCUUUUUCUCAUGGUCACAAAGUGUAGCUCCAGCCAUAUGUCUGUGUUCAGGGAUGAGACAGGGUUAAGGGAUGAUGCUGGCUGCCUCUCCUCAUUUCAUCAGGAGGGCCAAGGCCACCCCAGGACCCCCGACCCCCAUCCCCAGUCCCCAGCAGGCUUCCACUCAGUUCUCAUUGAACAGAGCUUUGUGUUUUGGUCACCCACAGCUGCAAGGGAGGAUGAGAAAGAGAACAGGAGUACAGUGAUUAGCUUAGCCCAAUCAUAAUCCAUCCAUGGACCUAGAUUUACUAGGCAUUACUGCCCAAAAUCAAAAUAAAAUAAUGUUAAACCAAGGAAAAGUAGGAAUGGAUUUUGGACAAGCAGCUAAGAGUCUACCACAUAUUCAUUUAACCCAUAGUUUUCCAAACAUUUUUUAACACAACUCAUUGUGUAAAAUACCAUGAAAGCUGAUGAAAUGCUAGCCUUACACACACAUACCAAAACACACCCCAAAACAAAACAAUCUGUUUUGUUUUGGGGUGUUUAUGUGUUUGGGAAUUGAAAUAUUGUCAUAUUGACAGUAUGUACUUAUUUUAAGCUGAACCAGACCUGGUUUGAGACUACCACAUCUUGCUUCAUUAGAUAGAUUCCUUAGAAACCUGGAAAGAUUUCCUUAGAAGAUACCACAGAGAAGCUCUGCUCUUUAGUUACUGUAGAUUAAUAGGACUUUUAGAGAUAGGCUUUGAAUAGGGCUAUAGCUCAACCCUUGCAUUUCACAGAUUUGGAAACUGAGGAUCAGAGAGGUGACUUACUCUAAAUGUCUGUCAUCUCUAGACAUCCAGGAGAGGAUUUAUUUCUAUCUCAUACUAUCUUUCUUGUCCUUUACUCUGCCUGUAGCAUUUUCACUGAUGAAAUGGUGGUGGUGGUUUUAUUAGGUGCUGUUGAGUUGACUCUGAUUCAUAGUGACCUUAUGUGUAGCAGAACAAAAUGUUGCUCGGUCCUGUGCCAUCAGUAUUAUCAUUGGUAUGUUUUGAGUCCAAUCAACACUCAUGGAAGCCGUAGUCAAGAAAUCAAAAGACACAUUGCCUUGGGCAAAUCUGCUGGAAAAGACCACUUUAAAGUGGUGAAAAUCAAAGAUGUCACCUUGAAGACUAAGGUGCGCCUGACCCAAGCCAUGGUGUUUUCAGUUGCCUCAUAUGCAUGUGAAAGCUGGACGAUGAAUAAGGAAGACCGAAGAAGAAUUGAUCCCUUUGAAUUGUGGUGUUGGAGAAUAAUAUUGAAUAUACCACGGACUGCCAGAAGAACAAACAAAUCUGUCUCGGAAAAAGUACGACCAGAAUGCUUCUUGGAUGCGAGGAUGGCAAGACUACAUCUUACAUACUUUGGACAUGUUAUCAGAAGGGAUCAGUCCCUGGAGAAGGACAUCAUGCUUGGUAAAAUAGAGGGUCAGCAGAAAAGAGGAAGACCCUCAACGAGGAAGAUUGACACAGUGGCUGCAACAAUGGGUUUAAAAGUAACAAUGAUUGUGAGGAUGGUAUACGGCUGGACAGUAUUCCAUCCUGUUGUAGCUAAGAGUCGGAAUCGACUAGACGGCACCCAGCCUCAACAACAAUAGGACGAGGGUAUGGGUACCCCCAUUCUCAGAAAGGUGUGCUAAUAUGGAUAGGUUAAGAACAAGGAUCUUUCUGGACCUGCUGCUAAGAGUCACGCUUUUGGAGAGAUGAUCAAAAUGGAUUAAAAUACUGGGUUUCCACUUGGCAUCUUCUCCUUAGAUUCAGUUUCUUGAGAUUCCCGGCCUCUGAGUUUUCCUGUCUCUUGAAAUAUAUUCCCUACCCAUACCCAUUCCCUUUGAUGGUUCUUCCUCAGGCCCUAUGAUGCACAGGGUCGGUGGUGGCAGGACAAGCAUAGGCACGUCUCUUGCUUGAGAGGGUGUUAUGGAUUGAAUUAUGUCCCUCAAAAAUAUGUGUCAACUUGGCAAGGCCAUGAUUCUCAGUAAUUUGGCAGGUAUGAUGUAGUUUAACAACUAUAUAAUGAUGUAAUCAUCUCCAUAAUGAGAUCUGCUAUGAGCAGUCAAUCAAUUUAAAGGGAGCUUCCUCAGGGAUGUGGCUUGAAUCCAAUACAUAUGGACUUUCUGGCAAAGCUUGCUGGCUUUUGCUCGCUCUCGAUCCUCAUCUGACCUCUGGCUCUUGGGACUUGAGCCAGCAGUUUGCCUGCAGAUUUUGGGAUUUGUCAGCCUCCAUAGCCUGUGAGCCAGUGGCCUGUUGUCUGACCUGCCAAUCUUGGGUUUGCCAGCUCCUGUAGCUACAUGAGACAGGAGAAACCUCCAGCCCGACCCAUGGACUUUGGACUUUACAGCCUCUAGAGCCACAUAAGCCAUUUCCUUGGUAUAAAUAUGUCUCUAUAUAUGUAUAUGUACAUAUGUAUUUAUACACUUCACUGGUUUUGCUUCUCUAGAGAACCCAGCCUAAGACAGAAUUUAGCACCAAGAGUGGGGUCCUGCUCUAACAGUUACCUAAAAUGUAGAAGCAGUUUUGAAACUGAGUGGGUAGAGGCUGGAAGAGUUUUAAAGUGCCUAAUAGUAAAAAUGGAGCCCUGUUGGCACAGUGGUUAAGUGUUCAGCAGCUAGCCAAAAGGUUGGCAGUUCAAAUCCAGCAGCCUCUCCUUGGAAACCCUAUAGGGCAGUUCUCUUCUGUCUUAUAGGGUCACUACAAGAUGGAAUUGACUGGACAGCAGAGGGUUUGGUUUGGUUUCUUUUUAACAGUAAAAGCCUAGAUUGCCUUGAAGAGAUUGUUGGUGGAAUUAUGGACCUCAAAGACAUUUCUUGUAAGGGCUCAGAUGGAAGUGAGGAGAGCUGUAAUGUCAGAGACAGCGCAGACGGUGAGAAGCAGUGGCUAGAAACGGCAGCAGCAGAACCAGGAGACUGGUGUGAGACAGCACUGGAGUUGACUGAUGGAUCAAAAGACCUGACUGCCUUUGGGCAGGAGGCUUCCUGGUGGAGUAGGGUAUCUCUGGACACUUACUGGUAGAGAUAAACAGCUUGUAACUCUUGCUCAAGCAGGGCAGAGGCCACGUUGGGCCUAAGAGGCCAGAGGGGCCGAGGGGCCAAGAGACCAAGGAACCAGGAAGCAGAAGCUGAAGAGAUAAGGAGCACAGGAACCAGAGGUGCUUCUGUCUCAAAGGUUGGGGCCACGGCCUCCUAGGUUUCAAAGAGUCAGAUCUUUGCCAACUCGGUUCUGGAGAGUGGGGCUGCCUUUCAUGAGUGCCAGCAGGAUGGGGCCUGAUCGCUCCCCAAGGCUAAGGCAGCAGGGCUGCCGUGCCUAAGGGACAGAAGAACUGGGCCUGCUGGGGCAGAGCAGAUAGAGUUGCUACUGAGACAGACUGGGUGAAUGGGGCCACUCAAAUCAGAGGGAGCAGAGUUGCCAUCCCAGUGGGCCUGGAAGGUGGAGCUGAAGCCCAGGGCUGGGGGUCCUCCACCCAGAACCUGGAGAGCAUGCCCACACCCAGAAUCUGGAAGACAGGGUCAUUGCCUAAAUGGUCUCAGAGACAGAGGAUUAUUUUCAAGCCUUGAGAGCUAAUGUAAUACGUUCUGCCGACUUGCUUGGUGCCCAUUAUGCCUUCUUUCCCUCCAGCUUCUCCCACUUGUAAGGAAAUGUCUACCUUUGCCUGUUCCACCAUUGUACUUUGGAAGCAGAUAACUUGUAUUCUAGAUUUCACAGAUGAAAAGGAAUUUUUAGAAUUCAGACUUGGAGUUGAAUUAAGACUUUUGCUGUGGUAUGAUGGGGUGAAUGUGUUUUCCAUGUGGCAAGGACAUGAAUUUUUAGGGGCCAAAUGGUGGAAUGUUAUGGAUUGAAUUGUGUUCACCAAAAAUGUCUCAGUUUGGCCAGGCCAUGAUUCCCAGUACUGUGUGAUUGUUUACCAUUUUGUCAUCUGAUGUGACUUUCAUGUGUGUUGUAAAUCCUACUCUAUAAUGUUACUGAGGCAGGAUUAGAGGCAGGACUCAAUUUACAGGAUUAGGUUUUGUACCUUGAGUCAAUCCGUUCUGAGAUAUAAGAGAGAGAAUUGAGAGGAAAGGGAGCUCAUUACCAGCAGGGAAGAGUCAGGAGUAGAGCAUGUCCUUUGGACCCAAAGUCCAAGGACUUUUCCCUAGAGCCAACAGAGAGAGAAAGCCUUCCCCUGAAGCUGGCACCUUGAAUUUGGACUUCUAACCUCCUAGACUGUCAGGGAAUAAAUCUCUGUUUCUUAAAGUCACCUACUUGUAGUACUUUUGUUAUAGCAGCACCAGACAACAGAAUCAUCUCCUGCUUUGAAAGAGGCCCGCCAAAAAGGAGGAUGCUCAGGCUCCUGGUAAGGUGGGCUCCCGUGAGGUCUACUCCUACCCAGAGUUAGGGCAUCCACGUAAGUGUAUGGGGACAGAACCUUAAUAAUAAACAAUGCCUUUUGUAUACGACCUUAUCCUACAUUGGAGACUUAGAGAAAAUAGAUGCUGCUACUCAGCAGCUCAGGUGUGGGGAAGUAUAGAAUACUUCACGACCCUGCCUUUGACUGUCUCUCUCUUCAUGGCCUAACUAUUGUUCCUGUUGUUUGGUGUCAUCAAGUUUUUCCAACUCAUAGCAACCCCAUAUGACAGAGUAGAACUGCCCCAUAGGGUUUUCUUGACUGCAGUCUUUACAGAAGCUGACCUUCAGGUCUUUCUCCCAUGGAGCCGCUGGGUAGGUUUGAACCGCCAGCCUUUCAGUUAGCAGCUAAGCAUUUAACCCUCUGUGUUACCGAGGUUCCUUGUGACAUAACUAACACCUAACACUACUGAAUUAGUCAGGGUCCAGCCAGGAGACAGAAAUCACAUACCAAUUAUUUGAACAAAGAAUUUAAUAUAAAGAAAAAUUAACUAAUUUGCAAAAGUUGCAUGGUAGACAUAUUUACAACAAUAACAAAAAAAGAGUAACUGCUAAGGCUGUUAUGUAUAGCCAAACAGCAUAUGGGAUUUGGUUUCUUGGUUUGGAGGUCUAGGAUCAGAGUUUCAUGGGACAUCCCAGUUAAUUGGCCUGAUACUGUGUUUAGUGGUUCUCUUCUACUUCCUAGUUCAUUGUGUAGUGGCUGGGGUCUUAAAAGCUUGCAAGUGGCCAUCCAAGGUAUAAUAAUUGGUCUCUUUUUUAUUCAUCUAGAGCAGCAGAGGAAGAAGGAGAGAGUCAGGAAUAAGAAGAGGAAAUGGCAUGUGUUGCUAAUUACCUAUAUGAACAACUGCCCCCUUUGCUAUGAGACCGGAAGAAUUGGAUGGUUCCCGGUUGCCAUUACUGGAAACUUUGAUAAUUGGUUUUAUAGAAGAAGCCUAAUCAAAAGGGAGAAAAUGCAGAACAGAAUUUCAAAUUCUCAUGUAAUCCAGAAUUUCUGGAGCCAUGGAGGCUGGAUAAAUCCCCAAAAGUAUUGCCCUGAGAUAAUCUUUAAACCAGAAGUAUCCCUUGAAGUCUUCUUAAAACCAAACAAUAGUUUAACUUAACUAAUAAAGAAUGUUUGCCUUGCACAUUAUGCUCUUUUAAGAUCUGUUGUUAUGGGAUCAAAUUGACAACAGCAAUUAGUUCAGAUAGGAAACUUAGGGGGCAGUGAGUUUAUGUUAAUUGGGGAGGAACAAUUUGGAAAAGGAAGGUGACUGUAAUCAACGUCACUGAAUUGUACAUGUAGAGAUUGUUGAAUUGGUGUAUGUUCUGCUGUGUAUAUUCUCAACAACAAAAAUAGAAUAAAUUUAAAAAAGAUAUAAAGUUGUAAACUAGAUAAUCAAAAGGAUAAAAAAGAAUACUAUAAUGUGUCACAGGUCAUAACUGCAGGAAGCAGCUACCACCUCUGUGGCUGGGGAAACAAAAGGAAAAAGUUGGAAUUAUUAAAACUUAGAAACAGCUGAAACUCAGACUGCUAGUGAGGGGCACUGCCCCACUGGUGCUGCUAUCUCUGAACAGGGCCUGCAAGCUGGUUCUGUAAGUGCUGGAAAAGCUGUAACCUGGGGGCAGCUGCCGCUCCUGGAGUUCAGAAGCAUUGGAGGGAAGAAGCAUUGCAGUGAUGCUCAGAGGAACUGUAAGCACACAGAAGCAAGAACUUCCCUCUUCCCUGUCUGUAGCAUCAGUGUCUCUUGUUGGCAGAGCCUACUAGGAACAGUGAGCCUGCAGGAGUGUGGUGUGUAGAAUCCCAGCUCAGGCACCACUCAGCACAUUGCAGAAGGGGAGGUUUGGAGCCAGGGCAGACAGCUCAUGUGAGUUUGUGUGGCAUGAUGGGUUGCUUUUACAUGGCCUUUCUCGCCAUGGUCUUGUGACCCCCACCAAAAGAUUGGGUGGGACUGUGCAAAUAAGGUGCUUGUGGCCCACCAAGGGGAUUGGACAGCUUGCUAAUAAUACAAAUAAGGUACAUGGAAUUCUUAUGGGGGUGGAACCAUGCAAAUAAAGUAUACAGAACCUUAAUAAGAGGAUAGGUCAGUUUUGCCAUCCCACUAGGCUUGAAAUGAGCCAUCCCAGGGGCAAAGGGUGGGGACCUCACUACCACAAGAAAGAAGAGCUAGGAGUAGAGCUCAUCCUUUGGACCUGUGUUCCCUGUGCUGAGAACCUGCUAGACCCAGGAGACAGAGAGAGACCUGUAACCCCGGAGAUGGUAAGAUAGCCAGAAAUAGCCGUGGAGAAAUGGUGAUAACAGAGGCAGCAGGAUCAGGAGACUGGCAGGAGGCAGUGCAAUGGGCUUCCUUACCCACAGAGCAAGAGCUGAGCACCUUCGAGCCAAGGCUUACUGGCAUAGUGGGGUGCCUCUGGGCACUUAUCAUUGGAGCUAAAGAGUUCUGUAACACUUGUCUGAGCAGGGCAGAGACUGAGCUGGCCCAAGAGGCCCAAGGGGCUGAGGGCUGAGAGACUGAGGGUCAGAGAGAGGCCUGCCUGCAGGCAUGGAUAAGAAAACGCUGCUGUGAUCAAAGAAUCAUAUCCUGAGUUGUUUUUGGUCCUGAAUUGUAACCUGUUGCUUCCCUAAUGACCCCCGUAAUCGUGAGUAUUGUCUGUGAGUUCUGUGUGGCCAUUGCUAGGAAUUAUCUAACCCAGCAGAGAAGUGGUCAGAAUUGGCAAAAAGGCUGGAGGGUGGAGGUGAGCCUGACUCCUGCUUCACAGGAAUCAGCCUUGGACUGCUGAUAAUGACACUCCUACUCCCCCUCUACCCAUCAGGUUAGAGGAGGAGGCCGGACAACGCCCCGCCCCAGGCUGUUAUCACAGUUUGUAUUUGGAUAGAUGUUCCACUGUAAAGGUACAGAUUAUGGUUUACUUAUCCACUUCCUCUGAGCUAUAUUAGCUUAAAUCAGCUCCUAAAAUCUCUUAAUAGUUCCUCCCUGGCAACUGAAAAAACCAGAUAGAACCCUAGACCAGAAGUCAGGAGUACCCCAGUCAGACACUACACCUUCGCUGUAACCUGCCAACUGCCCUUUUCUGUCUGCUCCCCAGGGCUUGAUUCUGUAUGUGAGUUUUUGGAUGCCAAAAGUGAAAAGUGCUGUUCGAGAUGCAGAGAAAAGAAACAGUAGUGGGGAAAUGGGCUGUAGUAAACUCCACUUACUGUCACGACCUGCUUCCAGAAUCCUGGAUUUGUUCACCGAAGCAGUAUGCCCAGCCUCAGGACAUGAAUCAUGAUUACCUUAAACCAGUCAGAGCAAUCUCAUUCACAUUUGCCUGAUCCUCAACUUUCCCAGCUUCUGACAUGGCGGAAGGCCAUGUUAUCUGGUUCUGGCUGGAGAGAUAUUGGGGGAAACUGCUGGCAAGGAUUCUGGGAAUAAUUUUGUUUACUGCUGAAAGAGCCAGUCAUGUGAAGGAAGAUGCUUUCUCUGCCUUUCCCCUUCUUUUAUUUUCAGGGAGCAGUGCUGAGAACAUAAUUCCUAAACUGAGGCAGCCACUUUGGAACCAUGAGGUAACAAGCAUGAGAACAUGAAAACAUGCAGAGAUGGCUGAGUGGAAAAAACAGAGCCCGGUUUCUUGAUGACAUACUUAAGCCACUACACCAAAUCUGCAACUUCUACUUGGUUUUCUGCUCGUUUCAUCCUGGAUGAUACAUUCAGGUGGGACAGGGGAGCUGAACAACCUGGUACAUCGAAGCUUGCUGAGGACAGAUGAUGUGGAGAAGCAACUGGAAUCGUGUCAGAUAUCUGAAAAGCAUAUCGUUUUUAACAAAAAUAAGACAACUUUGAAUAUG